GGUGCUUCUUGGGUGACGCACACCGGAAUAGGGCUCCCUCCUCUCUGGUUCCAUGUGCGUCACCCGAGAACCACA
rfam:Myotis davidii contig126134, whole genome shotgun sequence.